rnacentral:rRNA from 1 species
UACGUAGGGUCCGAGCGUUGUCCGGAAUUAUUGGGCGUAAAGGGCUCGUAGGCGGUUCGUCACGUCGGGAGUGAAAACUCGGAGCUUAACUCCGAGCCUGCUUCCGAUACGGGCAGACUAGAGGUAGGCAGGGGAGAGCGGAACUCCUGGUGUAGCGGUGGAAUGCGCAGAUAUCAGGAGGAACACCGGUGGCGAAGGCGGGUCUCUGGGCAGUAACUGACGCUGAGAAGCGAAAGCGUGGGGAGCGAACAGG